GCCGGAACGACGCGGCACGAUCACUCUGGCUCUUGUAAAGCGAAGGUCGUCGGUUCGAAUCCGACAGGGGGCU
rnacentral:tRNA from 2 species